UACGGAGGGGGCGAGCGUUAUUCGGAAUCAUUGGGCGUAAAGGGCGCGUAGGCGGCUUUGUAAGUCUUGGGUGAAAGCCCUCGGCUCAACCGAGGAAUUGCCUUGGAUACUGCGAAGCUCGAGGCUGGAAGAGGACAGUGGAAUUCCCGGUGUAGCGGUGAAAUGCGUAGAUAUCUGGAGGAACACCGGUGGCGAAGGCGGCGUUCUGGACUGCAUCUGACACUGAAAGACGAAAGCCAGGGGAGCAAACGGG
rnacentral:rRNA from 1 species